rnacentral:tRNA from 1 species
GCCUGUGUAGCUCAGUUGGUAGAGCAGCUGAUUUGUAAUCAGCAGGUCAGGGGUUCGAGUCCGUUCACAGGCUCCA